rnacentral:tRNA from 1 species
GGGCCCAUAGCUCAGUUGGUAGAGCUCCCGGCUCAUAACCGGGUGGCCCCUGGUUCGAACCCAGGUGGGCCCA